GCCCGGUUAGCUCAAUCGGUAGAGCGUGAGACUCUUAAUCUCAAGGUUGCGGGUAAGUUCGCACUAUGCU